rnacentral:rRNA from 1 species
CAAUAGCGUAUAUUAAAGUUGUUGCAGUUAAAAAGCUCGUAGUUGGAUUUCGGGGCAGCCUGGCUGGUCCGCCGCAAGGCGAGUACUGGUCAGCCGCCCUUCCUCUCGAAAGCCCCGACUGCUCUUCGUUGCAGUGGUCGGGUAGUUCGGGACGUUUACUUUGAAAAAAUUAGAGUGUUCAAGGCAGGCCUACGCCUGAAUACAUUAGCAUGGAAUAAUGGAAGAGGACCUCGGUCCUAUUUUGUUGGUUUCCAGGGCCGAAGUAAUGAUUAAGAGGGACAGUUGGGGGCAUUCGUAUUUAAUUGUCAGAGGUGAAAUUCUCGGAUUCAUGAAAGACGAACAACUGCGAAAGCAUUUGCCAAGGAUGUUUUCAUUAA